rnacentral:rRNA from 1 species
GACGAACGCUGGCGGCGUGCUUAACACAUGCAAGUCGAACGGAAAGGCCCUGCUUGCAGGGUACUCGAGUGGCGAACGGGUGAGUAACACGUGGGUGAUCUGCCCUGCACUUCGGGAUAAGCCUGGGAAACUGGGUCUAAUACCGGAUAGGAGCCAUUUUUAGUGUGAUGGUUGGAAAGUUUUUUCGGUGUAGGAUGAGCUCGCGGCCUAUCAGCUUGUUGGUGGGGUAAUGGCCUACCAAGGCGGCGACGGGUAGCCGGCCUGAGAGGGUGGACGGCCACAUUGGGACUGAGAUACGGCCCAGCCUCCUACGGGAGGCAGCAGUGGGGAAUAUUGCACAAUGGGCGCAAGCCUGAUGCAGCGACGCCGCGUGGGGGAUGACGGCCUUCGGGUUGUAAACUCCUUUCGCUAGGGACGAAGCUUUUUGUGACGGUACCUAGAUAAGAAGCACCGGCUAACUACGUG